CCCGCUGAACUUAAGCAUAUCAAUAAGCGGAGGAAAAGAAACUAACAAGGAUUCCCCUAGUAACUGCGAGUGAAGCGGGAAGAGCUCAAAUUUAAAAUCUGGCGGUCUCGCGGCCGUCCGAGUUGUAAUCUGGAGAAGCGUUUUCCGCGUCGGACCGUGUACAAGUCUUCUGGAACGGAGCGUCGUAGAGGGUGAGAAUCCCGUCUCUGACACGGACAGCCGAUGCUUCAUGUGAUACGCUCUCGAAGAGUCGAGUUGUUUGGGAAUGCAGCUCAAAAUGGGUGGUAAAUUCCAUCUAAAGCUAAAUAUUGGCGAGAGACCGAUAGCGAACAAGUACCGUGAGGGAAAGAUGAAAAGAACUUUGGAAAGAGAGUUAAACAGUACGUGAAAUUGUUGAAAGGGAAACGCUUGAAGUCAGUCGCGUCGGCUUGGGGGAUCAACCUUGCAUUCAUUUGCUGGGCGUACUUCCCUAGUCGAUGGGUCAGCAUCAAUUUUGAUCGUUGGAUAAAGGUCUGGGGAAUGUGGCAUCUUCGGAUGUGUUAUAGCCCUUGGUCGGAUACAACGGUUGGGAUUGAGGAACUCAGCACGCCGCAAGGCCGGGUCUUCGGACCACGUAACGUGCUUAGGAUGCUGGCAUAAUGGCUUUAAUCGACCCGUCUUGAAACACGG
rnacentral:rRNA from 1 species